AGAAGCCCAGUAAAGGAGGAGGAACUGGGAUUAUGUAGAAAAAAAGACAGAGGGCAGACUUACAAAUGGUAUUCAAGUGUACAGUUAUUAGAGAUGGUGUCCAGAUGUUCUCCAAUAUCUCCAAUAAAGGCGUUCUUAUACUGAUUACUGCCCAGGCCCAGCGCGUCCUUGGCUCUGCGAGUACACGCACAAACCUGCACCUGCCGGGCGGCACACACCGUGAGCUCCAGCAGCAGGAUCCGGAAACGGAAGGAGCCCAAGCUGCUUCGUCUCUGUGCCUGGCUAUUGGAAGUGAGAAGAAGGGACUGCCAAUAGGGCCCCCCAGGGGGGUUUCUGCAGAGAGACCAUGUCACAACGUGCAGUCUGUGAACGCGGGACAAUGAUGGUCAUUGACGUCCA